UGGGGAAUUUUGCACAAUGGGGGAAACCCUGAUGCAGCGACGCCGCGUGAUUUAGAAGGCCUUCGGGUUGUAAAAAUCUUUUCUAUGGGAAGAAAAUGACAGUACCAUAGGAAUAAGGACCGGCUAAUUACGUGCCAGCAGCCGCGGUAAUACGUAAGGUCCGAGCGUCGUCCGGAAUCAUUGGGCGUAAAGGGUACGUAGGCGGGUAAGCAAGUUAGAAGUGAAAUCCUAUAGCUCAACUAUAGUAAGCUUUUAAAACUGCUCAUCUUGAGGUAUGGAAGGGAAAGUGGAAUUCCUAGUGUAGCGGUGAAAUGCGCAGAUAUUAGGAGGAAUCCCGGUGGCGAAGGCGACUUUCUGGCCAUAACCUGACGCUGAGGUACGAAAGCGUGGGUAGCAAACAGG
rnacentral:rRNA from 1 species